CCUUAUCACAACUAUCCUACCAAUACUCAAAGCACAAGGGAUUGGGGACCUGCCUCCUUAAGCCUUUCAUCAAAUUCAGUCAGUUUUGAGGACACCCAUCACACAAAUGACUGUCUCUUAAAGCAGCGUGAGAGCAACAGAGAUCAGGGUUUGGGUCGGUCAGUGGAAAAGGAGACGGAGGCGAAAGGUCGACAGAGCAGGAGCGCCACACCAUCGGUCAGCAAAUACUCCAGCUCAGAGUCAGAACACAGGGAACCACGUUUGAAUCCAGGAGCGAUGAGUGGUAACUCCACCCACACAACACACACGGGUAUAAACAAUGACG